rnacentral:rRNA from 1 species
GACGAACGCUGGCGGCGUGCUUAACACAUGCAAGUCGAACGGAAAGGCCCUGCUUUUGUGGGGUGCUCGAGUGGCGAACGGGUGAGUAACACGUGAGUAACCUGCCCUUGACUUUGGGAUAACUUCAGGAAACUGGGGCUAAUACCGGAUAGGAGCUCCUGCUGCAUGGUGGGGGUUGGAAAGUUUCGGCGGUUGGGGAUGGACUCGCGGCUUAUCAGCUUGUUGGUGGGGUAGUGGCUUACCAAGGCUUUGACGGGUAGCCGGCCUGAGAGGGUGACCGGCCACAUUGGGACUGAGAUACGGCCCAGACUCCUACGGGAGGCAGCAGUGGGGAAUAUUGCACAAGGGGCGGAAGCCUGAUGCAGCAACGCCGCGUGCGGGAUGACGGCCUUCGGGUUGUAAACCGCUUUCGCCUGUGACGAAGCGUGAGUGACGGUAAUGGGUAAAGAAGCACCGGCUAGCUACGUG